UCCGGCGUGGUCUAGUGGCUAGGAUACCUGGCCAUGUCCCAGGAGGCCCGGGUUCGAUUCCCGGCGUCGGAA
rnacentral:tRNA from 1 species